AGUUCCGCAGUAGUGUAUACGUUGGAUUGCAAAUCCAGAACCGGAGGUUAGCUUCUCCCGGGACUU
rnacentral:tRNA from 1 species